GCCAGCGUGAUGUAGUGGUUUGAGUGUUGGACUGUGACUCUGGAGACCAGGGUUCAAAUCUUUGCUUGGCC